GUUGAAUGUCAAGUCAAGUCUUGGUUUACCCUUUGGGGGAGUUUUGUUUGUUUUUGUUUUUUAUUAUUCAUAAAAAAACAUUUUUCCUGCGAUUGAGUCCUCACUUCAUCUCUUCAAUGCCAGACCUGAUAGAUAGCUAAAGAGCUGUCUCUGUUCAUCUUACCAGAGGACACAGUGGCAUCCACUCUCUUCCAACUUUCUUCCAGACCCCACACCACAAAGUGGGAGGAUAUGUAAAAUUUUAGUGAAUAGAACUUCAUGCAGAUAACUCCAAGAUGCUGUUAGAACCAGUGUCCACUUAGAUUUAAGUUGAUUCCCUUGUUUUAGUACCUGUUGCUCUUAUAUUUAUCUGCAUUCAUAAUGCAUAACAGUUGUUUUUUUUUUUUUUUUUUUUUUUUUUUUUUAAAUGUAGUUUUAAACCUUUCAUGUGCUGUAUACCUAAAUGUUUGAACUCAUCAAUCAGUUUAUUGUGCUCCUACAACAUUAGCACUAAUGCAGAAGCCUCUUGUGUGAAGACUUGUGAGUCUACCAGCAGCACAAGUCUACUGAAAGGCUGCAGAUAAAGCACUUAAUAUAAAACUUUUCCUUCUAUUUGUUAUCUAUUAAUUUUCAUGUUCUUUCAGCACAUUGCUGACAUAUGGAUUACAC